rnacentral:tRNA from 1 species
GAGACGUGGCCGAGUGGUCGAAGGCGCUCCCCUGCUAAGGGAGUAGGCGGGAAACCGUCUCGAGGGUUCGAAUCCCUUCGUCUCC